GGAUGUGAGGGCGAUCUGGCUGCAACAUGUCACCUCAUGAUCGCCAGGGUUGAUUCGGCUGAUCUGGCUGGCUAGGUGGGUGUCCUCUUCCUUACUCACUACUCCAUAUGUGUCCCUCCUGAAGCUGUGCUCUAGAUUGAAGAAGACGACCUCCCCCCAUAGAAGAGGACUGUUCUACUCGUUCAAGGGUAUACAGGUAGCUGCACUCCUCUGCUAGAACCUCCAAACAAGAGUGGCAAUUUUACCAGUAUGUAGUUUGCCAUAAGACUCAGAAACUUU
rnacentral:snRNA from 1 species